UAGAAAUUAAAGCUUCAACGUAUUCAUGGAUAUAUAAGUCAUGGCAUUCAACUGCGAAGCACAAGAUAGUCGAGGAAGGGUUUAGCGUUGGGCGCGAGAACAUUCAGCUCAGCAUGAGUGCCUAACUCGAAGUCUUCAAACUGGAAGGCAGGAGCACAGGUGCAUCCGACCAGCGAGUAAUGCAACUCAGGAUCCCUGAUAGGAGCUUUGCUGAGGAGACUACCAUCGGAUGCAAAGGCUGCGACAUCUAACGUUGGAAAUGAUCCGAACCACACAUUCGGUGGAACAGUAUACUGGGGGCGAUGUCCG
rnacentral:misc_RNA from 1 species